ensembl:antisense
GCUGCACCCGGAGCUCCGCCUCCUCCAAUCAGCGGCCGCGCUGGCGGGCAGGGGUUAACCAGGGGGACCCCGCACCGGCGGAGCAGGCCGCGCCUGACAGGGCUGCUGAGAGCGGGCGGCGGGCGGCGCUUGCGGCCCGCCUGCGACGCGAGGGGCGGUCGGUCGGCUCGGGGCCGCCGGGUGAGCGGCCGGGGCCGGAGCCUCGGGAGCCCGCCUUUGCGGAGCCGGAGCCGGAGCCGGAGGCCGACGGUGGGGCUGCGCCUCAGGCCGCGGAGCAGCGUCCGAGCGGCGGCCCGGCGGAGCUGCCGCGUCCGCCCUGCCUCUCAUCUACACACAUCUUUUUUUUUUUUUUUUUUUUGGGUGAGGAGAGAGGUUGCUCUGCCCAGCGAUGGAUCCGAGGAGAGAGCCCCGGAGCGAGGAGACGGGGGCGUCACUGAGUUGGCCGUGCCCACCCCGAUGUCCGCCGGCCACCGGCCACGUCCCCAGACCCCACGCCGCGCCACGCCACAGGCACGGAAAGCCGGCCGGCCGCUCUCGCCUACCACGUACCUGACUGCCCGGGCGUCUCCAGGGACAAAGGUGUCCUGGGAUCAGAGCCGAGCCCUCACCCAGCGUGCCCCCCUCCAGAGCGGAGGUCGCUACCCGCCCCCCGGGGAACUCUCUCAAAGCACCUAGGGGGAGGUUCCAUCUCAACCUCCGGUGACAAGAUGACCCUCCUGGGGUGCCGGGGGGGGGGUGUCUGCUCUUCAGAGUGUCUGCUGAGAGGGUGAGCGCCUGCGACCGGAAGGCUUCCUGCAUGAGAAAGGGUUCCCCCUCUGACCCCAGCGCCAAAGGGGGAAAAAGUCACUUUCUUCUUCAUCUAGUCUCAUGAGCCAAGACACGGACUUGAAAGUAACUACUCAGCUUUUUGUUUUCUUCUGAUGCUUCCUUGACCAGAUGUCAGAACGUAACUGAAGGACUACAAGGAAAUCACAAGAGAAACAAACAUUCAAGCUUUUACACAGCCGGCUUGAACUUUUCCAGGCGUCGGCAAGUACUCCAAAGUAGAAUUCUGUAUUUCUUAUUAAUUUUUUCACAUAUUGACUGGACAGAGACCUGCCAAAUGGGCAAAGGAUGACAAAUCCCUUUUUGUAUGUUUUCCAUCCUUCAGAACUCAAGUAGAAAAACUCAAAUUGGGAGUCAUCUUCCAGAUCCCAGACAGCUUGGAAAGAUGAACAUUUUGAAGGGAAGAGAGGAAGAGGAAGUCGGGAGCAAAGGGUAGGGAAAGGGGGCAAGGAGGAGCCACCAGAAUGCAGUCAGUCUCAAGCAUGAAAAUGAUGGAGAACCAAAGGAUAGUGCACUGUGGCUCCUCCUCAAGUCUGGACAGUGGGGAAACAAAGACAGUUCUUUGAUUAUAGUGGGAUCAAGAAAGUAACACCCACAUUCCCAACACUUGGGAGGCAGAAAUGAAACAAGAUUGCCAGCCUGGGUAUCUCAAGACCAAAAGGGGGCUGGAGAGAUGGCUCUGUGGAUAAGAGCUGGCACUGAUCUUGCAGAGAUCCUGGGUUUGCUCCAAGACAUCUACCCGUAAGGCUUCCACGGACAGUGCAUUCAUGUGCACACACAGACACAUAAUUAAAAAUAAAUCUGAAAAGAAUAUGGCCUGCAACUCACUAUGCAGCAUGGGCUGGCCUUAGGUGGUGGGUCCUUCAACCUCUUACAGAGUUCUGGGAUUACAGGCAUGCAGCUACUAUACACAGCCUAAAAAUAACUACUUAAAUAACACUGGAGUGUCAUAAAUUAGGAAAGGAGACCAGAAGAGAAAGAGAAAUGGACAGUUGAAACUGAGUUCUUCCAGCUGGUCCACAAACAAGUUGUCUGGGCCAAUUAUCUAAUCGUUUCAAGUUUCACCAACCUCGUGCUAGAGCUAGAGGAUUCCCAGUGCCUUUUCUAGACCAUAGGUCCCAUUUUCAGUUCUUUGUUUUGAUAAAAGGUCUAGCGUAGCUGAGACUAACCUAGAUCUCCCACUGUGGCUGAAGAUACUGUCAAACCCUGAUCCUCCUGCCCCUGCUUUCCAAGAGCUAGGAUUAAUUACAAGCUAGGCAAGCAGUCUACCAACUGAACUACAUCCCCAGUACACAGACUCACUCUGUUUUCAGAGAGUCUCACUAUCUAGCCAAAAUUGUUCUAAAUUCUCAGUCCUUUUGUCUCAGGCCCUAGGAGCUGGCAUUAUAGGCGUAUGCCCUGAUGCCUGUCUCCUGAGUGCAGUUUUAAAGGAUCCAUUUGAACACAGAUGAAAUUUUUUAGUUUCACCUUUUUUUGGGGGGGGGGGGGUCAAGACAGGGUUUCUCUGUGUAGCCCUGGCUGUCCUGAAACUCAGAGAUCCACCUGCCUCUGCCUCCCAAGAGCUGGGAUUAAAGGUGUGCACAACCACUGCCCAGCAGUUUUAAUUUUCUAUAAAUGAAGCUUUAUGUCUUUUUUUUUUUUUCUGCUAUUUUGUGUGGGUUUUUCAUGGAUUCUCCCUCUGUCUCCUAAUGGUAGGAUCUUUUCUGGCUCAGCUUAGCUUCUCCUGCCUCAAGCAGCCUUUCUUUUCACUGUCCAUUCUCUUCACCAACUGCCUUCCCGUCUCUAGCCCUUCUCAGUCUUCUUUCUUUUGUACCAACUGUCUUCUCUAACCCUACUCUCUGACCUUACUCUGCUGCCACCUGGACCCUACUCUCUUCCUACUCCUCUGACUCUUGGACCCUACUCUCUGUCUCUACAAGUCCAAGAGUUAACUGACACAAAAGGUCAUAGGGUCAAGCAGUUCUAACAGCUAAGCAUUCCCAAAGAGUCAGUUGACUAGCCAUUGGGGAUCCUUUAAAGGGCCAGGCACACAAAAUAAUUCAUACUACAUAUAGGUGUCAAGGAAAGUCAUACCACCCAAGUCUAGGCUUAACAGCUGUUCCAAUAGAAAUUACUUAGAAAAACUGGAGACUUAUUUUAAGCAUCAUAUAAUUCAAAAUAUACUAAAAAGGCCCAGUGGCACAUGCCUCUGAUCCCAGCACUCAAGAGACAGAGACAGAUCUCUGAGGUUUAGGCCAGCCUCAUCUACAUAUAGCUCCAGGACUAUACAAAGAAGCCCUGGCUCAAAAAAUAAAAUUAAAUGAAAAUAACAGGCAAGAAAAUAUAUUUUUCCCAGAAAAAGGAGUUUUGGUAACAUUAAUUUAACCUUGGUUUCAGGGAUCAAUUUAUGUAAACUGUUUGGUCACGUGAAGUAACCUGUCUGAGAAUGGCAAGUGAUGCUAUGUCCUGUAUAAGAAUCCAGUUCCCAUCAGCUAUGGAAAACUUAAUCAUAUAUGGAACCAGAUUUUGGUUUUAGAGGAAUGAAGGAAAAGUUUUCUAAAUUCAUGUUAAAGUCACAGAGAAUCACACAUCCCCUGGUCAUACUCGAGGCUAGCUGUAGUUUUCUCCACAGUGUGUUGUGCUGAUUUCUCUGUAGGUUAAUAAUGAAUCAAAGGAAGAGUAAAGGUUGCUUUGAUAAAGAAACUGGGGAAAUCUGGGUUAAACUUAAGCAGAAUCUUUGAUUGUACUUGAUUAUGGAGCUUAUAGUACAUAUUAUAUAUGUGACUGUCCCUGA